rnacentral:sRNA from 1 species
GCUGGGCGUGGUGGCACAUGCCUGUAAUCCCAGUAGCUUGUGAGGCUGAGGCAGGAGGACCACUAGUUCAAAGCCAGCCUCAGCGAUUUAGGGAAGCCCUAAGUAACUCAGGAGACCCUGCCUCUA